ensembl:lncRNA
GUCCUGGGUAAGCCUUGUGGUAUAUGCCGGAGUCAUACCAGCGUUCAGCUGACACCCAUGAGCACCAUAGGGAGAACCGCACUGUUGGAAAAAAAGACAACACAGAUGCCAGUCACACAAAGGGAAUAUCUGCUCACACACCUUCAAACAGGAGGGUCACAAAGCCGCCAGGAGGAUGAUGGGAAGGGAAUCAAACCAAUACCUCCGCGACACAAACGGCCUUCAGAACCAACUGGCAAAACGCCCGAACAGCACUUUGUACUCCAAAGAGAAGUUAGCCGGUGCACACCAGUGGACUUACUCAGCCUUGGAGCUUGUCAGCUCUUCCGGACGCAUGUUUCUGCUCCACCAAGGAAGAGAAGAGAGUACGCUGGCAGCCGCUGCAGGGCAGGGGAGAAGCGUGGAGGCUCCCCGAAACAAGUGGUUUCAGCAGCUGCUAGAAACUUCCCCCUAAGACCUCCUCCCGGGGCCGGUGAGCCAGGAGCGGGGGUUCCUCGCAGCCAUCCCUGCGCGUUGUCCUGGCCUCGAGUGAAUUCAGGAAAACCCUGGAGUCAGCUCAGCAGCCCCACCUGAGGCACCAAAAACUGUAAUUGAAAGUGUCUGGGUCCAGCUGCCCACCCAUCAAAAACCGAUAAAGAGGCAAGGUUGGUGGAAAGGAAAGCUUGCUUUACUUCCGAGGCCAGAAACAGAGGGGAGGGGGCCAUGCCUGCAAAGGCCGACUCCCGCUGCUGAUGCUCACUGGGCAAGAGCUCUUAUAGAUGGAAAGAGGGGGCUAAUGCAGGAAUGGCACCGUCAGCUCUGCCAAUCAUCUUGAAAUUGGUCCUGCGGUGAUCUGGUCAAGUGUACUUGUCUUCAGUUCCAGUUCCAGGAUCGACGUGCUCCCAUUUCUUUGACGCCAGCUCUCAGAGUUGUGGCGGCUUAUGUCGUGGUUAGUCUGGUCAUCAUGUAGUUAACCUCUUUCACCUGGAGGGGGUUUCAGUGCCCACAGAAAGGCUCAAAGGAGAUGGCUCAGAAUAUCAUCUAUAGCCCUUGAGGAUGAAUGAAAUUAAACAUAUUCUUUGGCUUAAGUUUUCCAUGGACAAAAGGCAGACAGAGCACGUGGUGGGGUGGGGGUGCACAGUGUCUUGCUCUGUUUCAAUAUCAAUUAGAAUAUUACCUGCUGUACUCAAAUACAGCGACAAAGUGGAAUACAAAUACACACACACACACACACACACACACACACACACACACAGAUCCCCACAGCUGACCAUCAUUAAGAAUUUUCCUACAGCUUGAAGCAUCAGAUAUUUGUAAAGGAUUAGGGCAGCUUGGUUCUUCCUCAUUGUAACAGAGAAGACAAGCCCCGACCGAGUUCCUUGCUGGCAGAGCUAGGACCUCAUCAUAAGCCCUAAUGAGAGAUUUCAGUCCAUUUGUUCUAAAUAAGAAUCCAGUUUCUCCAGGCGGGGCUCCACCAGCUUGUAUCAGGCCCUGGGCCUGCAUUCCAUGAGCAAUUUCACACUAAAUAUUUACCAAGCACUUCUGAAAAAUUUCAGUGAGUCUGAACCUUAAUAACUCAGGAAGUACAGUUGUGUAAAUAAGAGGUUUUACCACAUGCACGGAGAUGAAACGGCACUGGGGGUGUUGUGUGUGUGUGUGUGUGUGUGUGUGUACUGGCGAAGGACACUCAUGACAUGGGGCUCGCUCACCACAUGAAACACUUU